AAGCCUGUGUAGCCAUGUCAUCCGUCUCUAUGUACUGAUUAGAAUGCGAAGCAUCUGAUUCCAUACGGGAUUCAUUAUCAAGUAUCAGAAACAACAGAUUCAUCAUUACUGCUUGAGCUAGAAUCAUCUGGAGGUAUUACAUAAUUAACCCUUCGUCUUGGAUAACCUUUAACAGCUUUGCGUUCGGGCCAUUCAGCAAUGUCAGCAAGCCUUAUCUGAUCUGCAUGUACUUGAACAACAGAGUUGUCAAGCUGGUUCUUAAUAAGGACCUCCCUGAAGGCAGAACUUGUAAAUUCUGACCCUCGGUCAUGAAUUAUAAGGAGAGGACAUCCAUAUCUAGAAUAUAUCUCAUUCAAAAGUAAGUCUAUUACUGUAUUUGUACUUUUAUCAGGAGCUGCGAAAGCUUCUGGAAAACCACUGAACGUGUCAACAAAGCAAAUGAUGUAACGA
rnacentral:lncRNA from 1 species